CAGGCCUAACACAUGCGAGUCGAGCGGUAGAGAAGGAGCUUGCUUCUUCUUGAGAGCGGCGGACGGGUGAGUAAUGCCUAGGAAUCUGCCUGGUAGUGGGGGACAACGUUUCGAAAGGAACGCUAAUACCGCAUACGUCCUACGGGAGAAAGUGGGGGAUCUUCGGACCUCACGCUAUCAGAUGAGCCUAGGUCGGAUUAGCUUGUAGGUGAGGUAAUGGCUCACCUAGGCAACGAUCCGUAACUGGUCUGAGAGGAUGAUCAGUCACACUGGAACUGAGACACGGUCCAGACUCCUACGGGAGGCAGCAGUGGGGAAUAUUGGACAAUGGGCGAAAGCCUGAUCCAGCCAUGCCGCGUGUGUGAAGAAGGUCUUCGGAUUGUAAAGCACUUUAAGUUGGGAGGAAGGGUUGUAGCUUAAUACGCUGCAAUCUUGACGUUACCAACAGAAUAAGCACCGGCUAACUCUGUGCCAGCAGCCGCGGUAAUACAGAGGGUGCAAGCGUUAAUCGGAAUUACUGGGCGUAAAGCGCGCGUAGGCGGCUUGAUAAGAUGGGUGUGAAAUCCCCGGGCUUAACCUGGGAACUGCAUCCAUAACUGUCUGGCUAGAGUACAGUAGAGGGUGGUGGAAUUUCCUGUGUAGCGGUGAAAGCGUAGAUAUAGGAAGGAACACCA
rnacentral:rRNA from 1 species